UCCACGUGGGAGCCCCGACCCCGGUGGGUCCCAGGUCCUCUCAGCUCCCCGAGGAGCGGAAUCCGAGUGAGGCGGGUGCAGCGGGAGCAUGCGCGCCGGGCGGGCAGGGGGAGGCUCCGCGCCCCCACCCCCCCGCGCGUGCACCCUCGCUCCCCUCCCGCGGGCACUGCCGGAUAGCGCGGAGCCACAGCCAGGACCAGCCCAACCUCGAGCUCCCCGCCUGUCGCCUUUCCUGGAGUCCGCUCUGCUGCGGCUCGGCUGUGCUCGGGGUAAGGAGGACCCCGCCGCCCGGCUGGUUCGAUUGCUGGGCUAUGCCUUGUAUGACUAAGACAUCUUACCAAGAUUACCUUUGCUUUGACACUUGAGGACAGUCAGACCAUGUGAAAAACACUGCUAAGGAGUGCUAAAGCAGCAAUGAAACAGCCCAACAGGAAAAGGAAGCUUAGCAUGGAUUCCAAAGAGCAUCAGAAUCAGGAUGGGUGCUUGGAGCAAAGCCCAGAGGAAGAAAAGCCCAGGGAUGGUGCAGCGCCUUUGAGUCACGGUAAU